GUGAGUAACGCGUGGGUAACCUGCCUCAUACAGGGGGAUAACAGUUAGAAAUGACUGCUAAUACCGCAUAAGACCACAGCACCGCAUGGUGCAGGGGUAAAAACUCCGGUGGUAUGAGAUGGACCCGCGUCUGAUUAGGUAGUUGGUGGGGUAACGGCCUACCAAGCCGACGAUCAGUAGCCGACCUGAGAGGGUGACCGGCCACAUUGGGACUGAGACACGGCCCAAACUCCUACGGGAGGCAGCAGUGGGGAAUAUUGCACAAUGGGGGAAACCCUGAUGCAGCGACGCCGCGUGAGCGAUGAAGUAUUUCGGUAUGUAAAGCUCUAUCAGCAGGGAAGAAAAUGACGGUACCUGACUAAGAAGCACCGGCUAAAUACGUGCCAGCAGCCGCGGUAAUACGUAUGGUGCAAGCGUUAUCCGGAUUUACUGGGUGUAAAGGGAGCGUAGACGGAGUGGCAAGUCUGAUGUGAAAACCCGGGGCUCAACCCCGGGACUGCAUUGGAAACUGUCAAUCUAGAGUACCGGAAAGGUAAGCGGAAUUCCUAGUGUAGCGGUGAAAUGCGUAGAUAUUAGGAGGAACACCAGUGGCGAAGGCGGC
rnacentral:rRNA from 1 species